GAAAGAAAUAAGCAUACCUUUCUCGGCCUUUUGGCUAAGAUCAAGUGUAGUAUCUGUUCUUAUCAGUUUAAUAUCUGAUACGUGGACCAAUGGUCCACACGAUAUUAAAUUAAUUUUUAUAAGGGGUGGGUUCACUACAGUAGCUUGCUACUGGAACUCACAAGUGUCAUCUUUGUAUUGCACUACUGCAAAGCUUGGCGCACCCUACCAAAUCCAGUGCAAAAUUCUCCGUACAAGCACCGAGAACAAAUUGUUUCUUUCACCACGACUAGGAACAGAGCACAGCAUAAAUACUGGUAGAAUGUGCCAUUCUUGAAGUGAAAUUUGAAGAGUCAGAGGCCGCAAAGCAAUGUGGUUCUUCUGUUUGCCUCUCCUUUCUUCGUAAUCACCAUCAGAACAUACCAGGUUUCUUCUGGAUGAGGAGGUGGUGUGAUCACUUGGCUAGUAUAUUUUAUCUUCUGAUCAAACAUGAGCAGCAAGAUCUAUUUGUGCAUGUGGGAUUCUCGCUUCUCAAAGUUAUAAAUCUCGUUUCUUCCGAUUGUUCUUGCUGAGAUAGAGAGAUGGUUAAUGACCCAGAAACCAAUGAAGCAGCAGCAGGUUGGCAGUACUUAGCUAGUAGUGGACAUCGUUGCCAUCCAAAACAGUGCCCAAGUUGACAAUGCUGCCAAACUCUAGUUAAGCAAGCGUCAAUAUCAGGAUCGGUAUUGUGAACAGAAGCAGUUUUGCGUUGCCUAGAAGUAGAAAUGAGCAAGGUUGUAAGAAUGGUUAAUGAUUAGUUACCAAACACUCAGCAAUGAUUUAAAUGCAGUGAUGGAACAGUCAGGUUGACUUAUAGGAGCUGUUUAUAUAGUUUUUUUUUUUAACUUUUUGUUCUCUCAAUUUCUGCGAAGGCAAAACUUUCGGAAAUUUUUGUAUGUGUUGGUUACAGAUAACCUUGCUUCCACAAAUGCAUUUAAGACU